UACGUAGGGACCAAGCGUUGUUCGGAUUUACUGGGCGUAAAGGGCGCGUAGGCGGCGUGGUAAGUCAUCUGUGAAAUCUCCGAGCUUAACUCGGAACGGUCAGAUGAUACUGCUGUGCUAGAGUACAGAAAGGGCAAUCGGAAUUCUUGGUGUAGCGGUGAAAUGCGUAGAUAUCAAGAGGAACACCUGAGGCGAAGGCGGGUUGCUGGGCUGAUACUGACGCUGAGGCGCGAAAGCUAGGGUAGCAAACGGG
rnacentral:rRNA from 1 species